rnacentral:rRNA from 1 species
UACGUAGGGUGCGAGCGUUGUCCGGAAUCAUUGGGCGUAAAGAGCGUGUAGGCGGUCCGGUAAGUCCGCUGUGAAAGUCGGGGGCUCAACCCUCGAAUGCCGGUGGAUACUGUCGGGCUAGAGUACGGAAGAGGCGAGUGGAACUCCUGGUGUAGCGGUGAAAUGCGCAGAUAUCAGGAGGAACACCAAUUGCGAAGGCAGCUCGCUGGGACGUUACUGACGCUGAGACGCGAAAGCGUGGGGAGCAAACAGG